UAUGUUCGUUCUUCCAAGUCAAGUUCGACAAGGAGGCAUGGAAUUUCAUUUGACGUACUACCAUGUAUGAGUGAUGCCGAGUGAGGUCUCCAGAGGGUGAUUGGUGGAUGUACCCUUGUUUUCUCUUGGCCUAUAGUAGGGGGUUUGUUUUCCCUGUUUUGCAUGAUCCACCGGCUGUCAAUAAAUGGCUGACCCACCCCUACUUCUUGUCUAUGGUUCUAUGGUUUUCCUGACUGAGUACCCAACCCCCAACCCAUACUACCACCCAAGCCCAGUUUACUACAAUU